rnacentral:rRNA from 1 species
CUCCUACGGGAGGCAGCAGUGGGGAAUUUUCCGCAAUGGGCGAAAGCCUGACGGAGCAACGCCGCGUGAGGGAUGAAGGCCUCUGGGCUGUAAACCUCUUUUAUCAAGGAAGAAGAUCUGACGGUACUUGAUGAAUAAGCCACGGCUAAUUCCGUGCCAGCAGCCGCGGUAAU